rnacentral:rRNA from 1 species
AACGUAGGACGCGAGCGUUAUCCGGAGUUACUGGGCGUAAAGCGCGGGCAGGCGGUCUGACAAGUCUGAUGUGAAAUCUCCGGGCUUAACCGGGAGAGGCCAUUGGAAACUGACAGGCUGGAGGGCAGUAGAGGUAGGCGGAAUUCCGGGUGGAGUGGUGAAAUGCGUAGAGAUCCGGAGGAACACCAGAGGCGAAGGCGGCCUACUGGGCUGCACCUGACGCUGAGGCGCGAAAGCCAGGGGAGCGAACGGG